rnacentral:lncRNA from 12 species
CACCGGAGGAAGUGCUUGAUUUUGGGACAGAUCAAGUCAUAAAUCUUCAUUUCUCAAGGAUAGGUAUGAAGUAGUUCUACUGAAGACAACUGUCAGGGAUUUCCUGGAGGAAGGAGACAGGGGAAUUUGAGAGAGGAGUGAGAUCCACAGCUAGGAGGCCUGGUCAUAUUGCUGCAUGCUGAAUCAACUAUAAGUAUUUCCUGUGAGUUGAAUUUUAUUUCCGAAGCUGCUGACCUGACUUCUGUGUAUGACUGGAUCAGGGAACCAUCUGGGAGACAUCUGUUAAGCUGCAGUAUAUCCCAG